GCCUCUUUAGCUCAGUCGGCAGAGCGUAGGUCUCAUAUCCAAACUCAGAGUAAUCCUGAGGUCGUGCGUUCGAUCCGCACAGGAGGCA
rnacentral:tRNA from 1 species